rfam:Globodera pallida, Lindley, WGS project CBXT01000000 data, contig: pathogens_Gpal_scaffold_152_contig_41
GGUCUCAUGGUGUAACGGUUAGCACUCUGGACUUUGAAUCCAGCAAUCCCAGUUCGAAUCUGGGUGAGACCU